CCUGGUUCAAAAGGUACUGCCUGAUGUCUUCUCUGUUGUUGAUUAGUUGGAAAAAAUUUUCUGAGAGAACGUUUGACAGCUGUGACAUUCAUGGGCAACGCAUUUGAAAAAGAAGGCAUAAAUAUUCAGAGACAUAUUAGAAUGCUGUUCAAUGAAGAUAGUGAAAGUGAAGAAAUCAGUUAAUCCUAAAUUUGCCUCUGAGAAUAAGUAGAGCCAUCAGCUCCACUGUUA
rnacentral:lncRNA from 1 species